rnacentral:lncRNA from 1 species
CCAGGGAGGGGUUGUUGGCCACAGCUCAGCUCAUGCAGGCCCUGGCCUACACCAAGCUCUGCCUUGGUCAUCUUGACUUCUCCAUCAAGCUGGAUUUGGUCUGUGUGUCCAUGUACUGGAGAGUCAGUGGGCGCUCAUUUCUCAGAGUUAUGAUGUCCUUGGCCUGGCCUGCUUUUACUCUGCUUGCUUAGAUCUGCUGCUCUAUGGAAAAGGAUUGCUGUGUCGGCCCUUUAGUGAGUGUCUGCGUUUCGUUCAAGUCUACGAGCACAGCCGUGUUCUAACCUCUCAGAGCAAUGUCAUGCUGGGGGUCCACUCCUCCCUGGCCAUGUGGUAAUGUCUUACUCAAGGGCUGUGGAAAAGGAUAGACAUUUAUGUCAUUUAAGCUGUCUCUCCCCACCAGACAGGACUUUUGAACCUCUCUAACCAACUUUUAAAGACCAUUCACC